rnacentral:tRNA from 1 species
GCCGGGCUAGCUCAUCUGGUAGAGCAACGCUCUCGUAAAGCGUAGGUAGUCGGUUCAAGUCCGAUGCCCGGCUCCA